rnacentral:rRNA from 1 species
CGUAGGAGGCGAGCGUUGUCCGGAAUCACUGGGCGUAAAGCGCGUGUAGGCGGGAAGGCAAGUCUGCUGUGAAAGCGCCUGGCUUAACCGGGCGAGGUCGGCGGAAACUGCUUACCUGGAGGGCGGUAGAGGGGGGUGGAAUUCCCGGUGUAGUGGUGAAAUGCGUAGAGAUCGGGAGGAACACCUGUGGCGAAGGCGGCCCCCUGGGCCGCACCUGACGCUGAGACGCGAAGGCGUGGGGAGCGAACGGGAUUAGAUACCCCGGUAGUCCACGCAGUAAACGAUGUACACUAGGUGUGGGGGGUAUCGAGCCCCUCCGUGCCGUAGCCAACGCAGUAAGUGUACCGCCUGGGGAGUACGGCCGCAAGGUUA